rnacentral:rRNA from 1 species
CAGUCGAACGAUGAUGCCCAGCUUGCUGGGCGGAUUAGUGGCGAACGGGUGAGUAAUACGUGAGUAACCUGCCCUUGACUCUGGGAUAAGCCUGGGAAACUGGGUCUAAUACUGGAUACUACCUCUUGCCGCAUGGUGGGUGGUGGAAAGGGUUUUACUGGUUUUGGAUGGGCUCACGGCCUAUCAGCUUGUUGGUGGGGUAAUGGCUCACCAAGGCGACGACGGGUAGCCGGCCUGAGAGGGUGACCGGCCACACUGGGACUGAGACACGGCCCAGACUCCUACGGGAGGCAGCAGUGGGGAAUAUUGCACAAUGGGCGGAAGCCUGAUGCAGCGACGCCGCGUGAGGGAUGACGGCCUUCGGGUUGUAAACCUCUUUCAGUAGGGAAGAAGCGAGAGUGACGGUACCUGCAGAAGAAGCGCCGGCUAACUACGUGCCAGCAGCCGCGGUAAUACGUAGGGCGCAAGCGUUGUCCGGAAUUAUUGGGCGUAAAGAGCUCGUAGGCGGUUUGUCGCGUCUGCUGUGAAAGCCCGGGGCUCAACCCCGGGUCUGCAGUGGGUACGGGCAGACUAGAGUGCAGUAGGGGAGACUGGAAUUCCUGGUGUAGCGGUGAAAUGCGCAGAUAUCAGGAGGAACACCGAUGGCGAAGGCAGGUCUCUGGGCUGUUACUGACGCUGAGGAGCGAAAGCAUGGGGAGCGAACAGGAUUAGAUACCCUGGUAGUCCAUGCCGUAAACGUUGGGCACUAGGUGUGGGGGACAUUCCACGUUUUCCGCGCCGUAGCUAACGCAUUAAGUGCCCCGCCUGGGGAGUACGGCCGCAAGGCUAAAACUCAAAGGAAUUGACGGGGGCCCGCACAAGCGGCGGAGCAUGCGGAUUAAUUCGAUGCAACGCGAAGAACCUUACCAAGGCUUGACAUUCACCGGACCGCCCCAGAGAUGGGGUUUCCCUUCGGGGCUGGUGGACAGGUGGUGCAUGGUUGUCGUCAGCUCGUGUCGUGAGAUGUUGGGUUAAGUCCCGCAACGAGCGCAACCCUCGUUCUAUGUUGCCAGCACGUGAUGGUGGGGACUCAUAGGAGACUGCCGGGGUCAACUCGGAGGAAGGUGGGGAUGACGUCAAAUCAUCAUGCCCCUUAUGUCUUGGGCUUCACGCAUGCUACAAUGGCCGGUACAAAGGGUUGCGAUACUGUGAGGUGGAGCUAAUCCCAAAAAGCCGGUCUCAGUUCGGAUUGAGGUCUGCAACUCGACCUCAUGAAGUCGGAGUCGCUAGUAAUCGCAGAUCAGCAACGCUGCGGUGAAUACGUUCCCGGGCCUUGUACACACCGCCCGUCAAGUCACGAAAGUUGGUAACACCCGAAGCCGGUGGCCUAACCCCUUGUGGGAGGGAG